rnacentral:rRNA from 1 species
GACGAACGCUGGCGGCGUGCUUAACACAUGCAAGUCGAACGAUGAAGCCCAGCUUUCUGGGUGGAUUAGUUGCGAACGGGUGGGUAACACGUGAGCAACGUACCCGAGACUCUGGAAUAACUACCUUAAACGGUGGCGAACACUGGAUAUGUGCCAUGUAGGCAUCUCCUCUGGUUGGAAAGAUUUUUCGGUUUCGGAUCGGCUCACGGGCUAUCAGCUUGCUUGUGGGGGAAUGGCCUACCAAGGCAACGACGGGUAGCCGGCCCGAGAGGGUGACCGGCCACAAGGGGACUGCGACACGGCCCAGAAUGCAACGGGCCGCAACAGGGGAAAAUCUUGCGCAGUGGGGGCGCGUCUGAUGCAGCAACGCCGCGUGCGGGAUGCCGGCCUUCGGGUUGUAAACAACUUUUAGUAGGGCAGAAGCGCAAGUGACGGUACCUGAAGAAAAAGCCCCGGCUAACUACGUG